AGUGGUUCCCGCAAGGGGGAGUCGUGAACCGAGUCAGGCCUUAACCGGAGCAGCUCUAAACGGUAUAACCUUGUGCGGGAACCUCUUCA
rnacentral:SRP_RNA from 2 species